CCUACGGGAGGCAGCAGUGGGGAAUAUUGGGCAAUGGGCGCAAGCCUGACCCAGCAACGCCGCGUGAAGGAAGAAGGCUUUCGGGUUGUAAACUUCUUUUAAGGGGGAAGAGCAGAAGACGGUACCCCUUGAAUAAGCCACGGCUAACUACGUGCCAGCAGCCGCGGUAAUACGUAGGUGGCGAGCGUUAUCCGGAAGGAUGGGGCGUAAAGGGUGCGUAGGCGGCCUGCUAAGUCUGGAGUGAAAGGUACCGGCUCAACCGGUACAGGCUAUGGAAACUGGCGGGCGAGAGAGGAGGAGAGGGCGGUGGAACUCCAUGUGUAGCGGUAAAAUGCGUAGAUAUAUGGAAGAAAACCAGUGGCGAAGGCGGCCGCCUGGCCUGUUGACUGACGCUGAGGCACGAAAGCGUGGGGAGCAAAUAGGAUUAGAUACCCCAGUAGUC
rnacentral:rRNA from 1 species